UGGGCUGUUUUUGAUGCAUUGUUAUUAUCUAUUGUUACUUAAAUAUCUAAUAUUACCUUUUGUGAUGAGUCUGAAAAUUUUUCUAACCAAUUGCUAGGAUGAACAAGGAGUCAGUAGAGAAGAGAGGGAUGAAGGAAUAGAAACAGAAGAAGAGAUGAAGCGCGCCUCAAAAUUUUCUUAUUUUAUAAUUGGCAUUGGUGGUGCUGGAAUCAUUAGCAUUUUCACUGGAUAUCUAGGACAUGUCUAUACAAUCCCUCUUAAGGUCUGCACCUUCUUCAUGCUGGCCACCUUCAUAUCUGG
rnacentral:lncRNA from 1 species